GGUCUCAUUCUUCCAUUGUUUCCGGUAGGUUUUUGUUUAUGGUGCGUUAGAAAAAUGGUUGCGUGAGGGUGCUGUGUUUUGGCCUUACUCUGUUGCACUUAUUGGGCUGAUGAGGGAGGGGAAUGGGAAUUUGGCGGUGGCGUUGAGGCCUCGAAGCAACAGGGGCUUUGUGAAGGGCAAAAUGGCGAUGGCGGCUAGUGCCAACGGGCCUCUCUGUGAUGAGAAACUUCACAGACCUGUACUGAGCUCCGUGAGGAUAAGAAACUCUGACGAGACGGGCCCUGUACAGCAGUUUUAGCUCCGGAAAAGAAAGCGUUUGCGAGAUACGCUAGUGCUGACUUAACGUCCUCUUGUCUGCAGGGUUCAGGCUCACGUCGAAUGCUGAAGGGUUGUAAAGGGCUCUCGUUAGAAUGUGGUUUAGUUCAAAAGACUACAGGUUGGAGAAUGGGACAAGGCUUAUCCCUGUGUAGGUCAAACAUUGCAGUGAUGCCCCAGGUGGGUGUAUUAUGCUUUAUGCAAUUAUGGACAGGGACACCGUGUCCGGAUGGGACUUGUUCAUUCAGAUUGCACUGGCCACUUCAUGAUGAAUGUAAAAUGACAAGCAUAUGCCUGAACUCAAGUGAUGUCAUCUUACUACUGAGAAGUGGGCCAAGAGUACUCAAGGGUCUUUUUAUUUGCAUUCUUCUGUAUUGAAGGAUAGUCAGUUUGCAAUGUUGUGCCAGUUUCUGGUGUACUGUAUGUUUCAGCCAUACAUAACUCAGGGGUCUUUAAUGGCUGUUCUUAACAUGUAAUGCCUCCCUUUUUUCCCUUUUCUGUCUCCAGCAUCUCAUCACCAAUCACAAGGAAUUCAGCUGCCUCCCAGGGUGAAUACAGGUAAUUUUUCAAGUUAGAGGUUGGGGGUGGUCUCUCUGGUGUUCCCCACAACCAGGAGAGCAAAUGGUCAGUGGAGCAGUGUUGCUUUUUUGCUCCUUCCAGCUUGUUCCUCUUGGAAUGAUUUUCCUGGGGAGGGAGACAGCAACCCAGCAAGCAGCAGUUGGUUCUUGUGAGGGUGUGCUCUUCCCUCACCACAUGUCACUGUCAGAUGAUUUGAAUUGAUAAUGCUGAUCCUCUGUGAGGUACGACAGUUAUAGCAUGUUAGAGUUCUGAUGGCAGUUUCUGUUUAAUGAAAAAGUUUUACUCUUAUAGUAUUUUUGAAAUAAUCAUUUGCUCCCUUUUUACAGGUUGUCCUGAUGGUGAUAUAUUCAUCUAUCUUAACAGUAAGUUGCUUCCCCAAUAUGGCAAAUCAGCAUAUGUGAAUCAAACAGCUUUACCAUUGGUGGGGUUUUUGGUUGUUGCUAAACCCCUUUCUGGUUUCACUGGCUUUUACUGAUGUUACUUGAUUGCUUAUAUUUUAUAUUAUCUUUCUUGAUUUUCUAGAUGCCUAUUGAUCUGCUCUGGGUAAAAUUCCUGGAAAGAGUUGAGAGUAAGUGGUGAGUACUUGUAACCUUGCUGGUUGUAGCUUGUCAGUGCCAGUGAGGAGAGCAAACAUCCUGUCUUACCCCCUGUCCCAGCCCCAGAGCCAGUAAUGGUGAACCCACUGGGGCUGACUGGGAGAGAGGAUGAAAACUUGUUCCAUAUGGAACAGUCUGAGGUACACCAAAUAUAUGUGGAUAGCGUUUGCUUAGCUUUUCUUGGUUUAUACAGUAAUCACAGCUAGAAUAGUUUUGACUGUUGCAGAUACUUUGCUGAUUACAUGAUUUUCUCGUGCAGAAUCAGCUAGUUCCUGCAUACUUCUUUCUGGAAAGCCUCCAGAGCUGAAAGGUUAGUUGAUUAAUGUCUCUGGCUUAUGCCACCAAGUAGGCAGUUUCUAUGAUGAAUCAAACUAGCUCACUAUGAUUUAAACAAUGAAAAGAUAUGAACACCUGAGAAACUGGAGAAGAUAGCAGUGGGGUAUUGUGUUGAAGGAACUUUUGUCACUCAUAGCUUUAUCCUUCACUAGGUACCGUUGCCAGUAACCUGCUUGUUUGCUCAAAGGUGAGUGGUUUCCAUAUACAUUGGUGCAUGCAGCAUACUAAGUAGAAAAGCCUUUUUAGGCAUCUAUAUGUGAUGACUUACAUGGAAUCUCGUUCGGCUGAUGAUUUGCUGUUGAGACUCGGAAAUCUGAUUUUCUAGAACAGUGGUUUAGGUGGGAACAACUUUUAUUGCAAGAGAUAACCAUCACUAAUUUAGUCUUGUCCUGUUUUAGUUCCAGCACCUUGUUUGGAGCCUGAGAAUGAUUUGAGGUAAGUAUAUUCAAGAGUUACCAGUUUUUGUGUGGCACUUUGGAUAGUUGUGCAGACACUACUGGCAUAAUCCAGAAUCUGUCUUUAGCCAUUUAAGAACCAUUUGACAAAUUCUCACUCACCUGUGAUGAGUUCGAUACCGCCCCAGUCUGAUUACUAUGACUGAAAGGUACUUUCUGAGCUGUGAGUUUGCCUUGAAGUGAAAGGUAACAGUGGGACAUUACCUAAGUAGGUUUUCUAGGCAGUAGGAAGCCUUUUGGACUAGCUAUUGGUUUUUAUAAAAUGUUUGGUGUUAAGACUUAGUCUAUAUAGAUAUGCCUUUUCUCUAAGCAACAGGGAUUCCUGGAGAUGGUUGAGAAACUUAGUUCCCAAUUGUUCUUUUGCAGGGGAAAGGUAAAAGCCAUAUUUCUGCUCAACUCCAGUCUGAAGUUAAGAGGUAAAGUUAACUUGAAUGCAACAUGGGUCAAGUUAAAAUUUCCCAGUGAAGAAACAUUCAUAUGUCUUACCUCCUGUUCUGGUCCCAGAGCCUGUAAAGGUGAACCCACUGGGACUGGCUGGGGGAAAAGAGGAAGGCUUGUUCCAGAAGGAACUGUCUGAGGGAUCAUUAAGAAUUUCUAAACAUGGGAAUGGUGGAAAUAAAUGACUGAUGGAAAAAUCAAUUGUACUUUUUUUUCCAGGUCUGAAAAAAAGAAUAAAGCACAUAUAAUAGUAGGUAUCUGUUCAUGUACUUGUGUUAAUAGGCUAUGAUAAAUGGAAAAAUACUUGGAAGCAAUCCUUUUAAUGAUAACUGGUUUAAAGGAUAUCCCAUUGUAAGCCUGUCUAGUAAGAAGAUUCACUUUUUCUCUACAGGAGUUGACUCUUGGAGGACGUCAAAAUUUGGAAUUGUCAAGCCAUUAUAUAACGUAGCUGUUGAAAUUAGCAUGCAAUCAUUUCAGCCUUUGUAAAUAAAAGUUUUUUUCUUUUAAACCUUCACUGAUUUCCUGUGUUUGAGUGGGCCUAGCUGAACAGAAGGAAAUAAUCCUAGAGUUUUUUACUGACUGCCCUGUUUACAGUCUGGCAGUUUGCCUAAUGCUGGAUUAUCUGGCCCUGGGAAGCAUCACUCAAGGAACCUUCUUAGACCUUCAAGGAGUUUUCUUUAUAUUUGGCUGAGGAAUUCUGCAUGACAAAUUUCCUGGGUUUGAGUGAUCCAUUUUAACCAUACCUUAAAAUUUUAGUAGACUUGGAUAAAGGCACUAGGAGCUGACGAGGCAUGGCAUUUAGGAACAGAAGAUUGAUUGUCAGGUCUUGGUAUUUCAUCACCCC
ensembl:lncRNA